UACGUAGGGGGCAAGCGUUAUCCGGAUUCACUGGGUGUAAAGGGAGCGUAGACGGCGACGCAAGUCUGGAGUGAAAGCCCGGGGCCCAACCCCGGGACUGCUCUGGAAACUGCGUCGCUGGAGUACGGGAGGGGCAGGCGGAAUUCCUGGUGUAGCGGCGAAAUGCGUAGAUAUCAGGAGGAACACCGGCGGCGAAGGCGGCCUGCUGGACCGUGACUGACGUUGAGGCUCGAGAGCGUGGGGAGCAAACAGG
rnacentral:rRNA from 1 species